rnacentral:sRNA from 1 species
UCUCCUUCCACUUCGACGUUGCCACGCG